ensembl:snRNA U4 U4 spliceosomal RNA
AGCUUUGCGCAGUGGCAGUAUCGUAGUCAUUGGGUUUAUCCGAGGCACGAUUAUUGCUAAUUGAAAAUGAGACCACUGGGGAGGGACCUAAUUCAAUAGGACUGGUGUCCUUAGUAACAAACUAUAGAAAUGAUCCCUGUGUC